rnacentral:rRNA from 1 species
GACGAACGCUGGCGGCGUGCUUAACACAUGCAAGUCGAACGAUGAAGCUGGAGCUUGCUCCGGUGGAUUAGUGGCGAACGGGUGAGUAACACGUGAGCAAUCUGCCCUUGACUCUGGGAUAACUGCGGGAAACUGUAGCUAAUACCGGAUACGAGAUCUGAAGGCAUCUUCGGGUCUGGAAAGAAUUUCGGUCAAGGAUGAGCUCGCGGCCUAUCAGCUUGUUGGUGAGGUAAUGGCUCACCAAGGCGAC